UCUUCUUCUUCUAAUCUCCUUUCAUCUAUUAUUUCCAAAUACAAUUUUUGUAUUGAGUUCUAUUUUCAUCUCGAAUUUUUUUUAUCAAAAUCUGAGGCCCGGCCCCUAAUUGAUUUUUACGAAAAAUUAAACCUUAAAUUUGCGUUAGAUGAAGUUAAAUCAUGUUUGUUCAAGCUCAUUUUUGCGGGAUAUUGUUGAUUGAUUCAUUUUCUGUGGAGAUUAUCAUUUCACUUAUUUUCGCCCAAAUUCCCCGGCCUAAGUUCUGCUACUUUCAGUCGGUCAAUUCUUUGUGUUGAUCGUUAAAUUGAUUCAAUUGGAUGAGUUUUAGGUUGAUUUGCAGGAACUUAUUGAUUGCUUUAUUACUCUAUGUAGUUGAAUGAUUUGUAUUAUAUUUGUUCAGAAUUAAUACUUUGCUCAAUUGGGUUUUGUGCUUACUUCCAGUCGUAUGCCAUCUUUUACUCUUGUGCGACUAGGUACUGCCAAUGGGUAUAUUGUUCUAAUUGUUUUUCUUUGUGGCAUUGGGAAUGUGUUAUUAGGAACAGGUUCUUAGUUGACUCCAAUACUUCAGUUGUGGGGGCAGAUACUUAUUUCAGGUUAUGCGACAAUUAAGCUGAUACUUACAACACAGAAUGUUGUUAAGGACGUACCUGUUGCAGAACACCACAAAAUUUACGGCUCCAACAGAUGAUUAUGGUGUGGCUCACAAGUUGCAUAGAAGCAUCAGUAAUACCAGAGAAUGCAGCAAGGGGUUGUUGGGCUACAAUAGGAUUAUGUUCCCACCCCUGAAUUUCAUUCAAUAAGAAAAGCAGGAAGAAGAUCAUUUAUACGACAUGUAAUAUUACAGCUUUAGAAUUGAGGAGAUGGGCAACAACUCAGUCUGAAGUUGUAGAAUUCAGGAGAUGGGCAGCAACUCAGUCGUUUUAGACUGUUACUUUAGCUUAAUUACGUUGUUUGUGUAAUUAAUCGAUUAAAUAUAUGCUUUAUUAUUUGGAUGGAAAUAUGGCAGCCUUGUAACAAUGUCAUUGAUGCCUUUGUGUAUAUAUUGAUCAGUGGAUGAAUGAAAAGAAUAUAGAUUUUGUGGUGAA